rnacentral:rRNA from 1 species
AACGUACGCUGGCGGCACGCCUAACACAUGCAAGUCGAACGAAGUAGCAAUACUUAGUGGCAGACGGGUGAGUAACAUGUAGGUAUCUGCCCUUUGGCCUGGAAUAACACGAGGAAACUUGUGCUAAUACCGGAUAAGUCUUUACGGAGAAAGCUUUAUGCACCAUUGGAUGAGCCUGCACUUGAUUAGUUUGUUGGUGGGGUAAUGGCCUACCAAGACUGUGAUCAAUAGCUGAUUUGAGAGGAUGAUCAGCCACAUUGGGACUGAGACACGGCCCAAACUCCUACGGGAGGCAGCAGUGGGGAAUCUUGCACAAUGGAGGAAACUCUGAUGCAGCGAUGCCGCGUGAGUGAAGAAGGCCUUUGGGUUGUAAAGCUCUUUCGUCGGGGAAGAAAAUGACUGUACCCGAAUAAGAAGGUCCGGCUAACUUCGUGCCAGCAGCCGCGGUAAUACGAAGGGACCUAGCGUAGUUCGGAAUUACUGGGCUUAAAGAGUUCGUAGGUGGUUGAAAAAGUUAGUGGUGAAAUCCCAGAGCUUAACUCUGGAACUGCCAUUAAAACUUUUCAGCUAGAGUAUGAUAGAGGAAAGCAGAAUUCCUAGUGUAGAGGUGAAAUUCGUAGAUAUUAGAAAGAAUACCAAUUGCGAAGGCAGCUUUCUGGAUCAUUACUGACACUGAGGAACGAAAGCAUGGGUAGCGAAGAGGAUUAGAUACCCUCGUAGUCCAUGCCGUAAACGAUGUGUGUUAGACGUUGGAAAUUUAUUUUCAGUGUCGCAGGGAAACCGAUAAACACACCGCAUGGGGAGUACGACCGCAAGGUUAAAACUCAAAUGAAUUGACGGGGACCCGCACAAGUAGUGGAGCAUGUGGUUUAAUUCGAAGAUACGCGCAGAACCUUACCAACACUUGACAUGUUCGUCGCGACUCUAAGAGAUUAGAGUUUUCGGUUCGGCCGGACGAAACACAGGUGCUGCAUGGCUGUCGUCAGCUCGUGUCGUGAGAUGUUGGGUUAAGUCCCGCAACGAGCGCAACCCUCACUUUUAGUUGCCAUCAUUAAGUUGGGCACUCUGAAAGAACUGCCAGUGAUAAGCUGGAGGAAGGUGGGGAUGACGUCAAGUCCUCAUGGCCCUUACGUGUUGGGCUACACACGUGCUACAAUGGUAUCUACAACAGGAAGCAAGACUGCGAAGUUAAGCAAAUCCCUAAAAGAUACCUCAGUUCGGAUUGCACUCUGCAACUCGAGUGCAUGAAGCUGGAAUUACUAGUAAUCGUGGAUCAGCGUGCCACGGUGAAUGCGUUCCCGGGUCU